CUGUUUUCCGCAGUACGAAAACAGCCUUGCAUACGUGGUAGCUGACGCCAUUAGGGUGACGUCACUGCUUUUACGGUGGCUGGUUGGCGCUCGGUUGCUGACGUUAUCGAUUCCGGUUUUGGGAACUUGGGGCAUCUGAUCGACGAGGGCGCACAGAAAGGCAGCCUAUACACUGACGCGUUCAACGUUUCGUCACAGGCACACGGGAGAAAUCGAAGUGACAGAGGCGUAAUCAUGCUUUGUGCUUACAUUGCCGCUACAUUCCUUUGGGGAUGGUUUUGCGGAAAUCAUUGUAAGCUGCCGCUACCAAACAAAGUUAUUAUCAAGGACGGAACGACUUACAAUUCUACUGAUCCCUGUGUGCAGUACCGAUGCCACAAA